rnacentral:lncRNA from 1 species
CUCGCCUUUCUUAAGUCCUAUGGUGUUAACAGUUGGUGUUGAGACCAUGUUUGUAGAAUAACAUUCUAAUACUGUUAGCCCUAGUUGUCCAAUUAUUCGAAGUUCUAUGAUGACUUCUCCUAUGGUGACUUCUUCUAUGAUGGAAAUAGUAGUAAGUGUAGGAUAUGACACUCAAAUGGAAGACGAUGAUUGGAUUAGCAUUGGAAUAAAUUUUGAUAAUCAAGAUUUUGAGUUA